ACGCUGAAGACCCGCCCACUAUGAAAGCUACUUGGCUCUUUCUCGCUUGAGUCAGUGUGUGUGAGUUCCGCGGCUGCAGCUCACAUUCGUGUCAGCAGCGAUGCAUCCGAAGACCAGUUUUGAGACAAUACUGUUAGCAUUUAUUUUUACUCUUGCGAGGUGUGCGUCUGCGGCAUGUAACGAAUGCCCUGCAAAUCAGGAAAUAACGUGUGAGAGCCUGCGCUCGUCCCAUGGAUACAUAUACACUGUGCCGCCGGAGAUCCCGUGCUCUGAAAAGUGCGAACAAGGAUGGUACUAUCAGAAUGGGACGUUUAUUGUCGACUCGACUCUGAAUGCCGGUGGAAGGAGGUUACCGGUUGUAGUGGAUGUAACUCCUCAGAAUCUGACCAUCCGUGUCUGCGACAACCUGCAGUGGCAACUUGACUGUGGCAAGUGUAGCUGUGUUAUCAAUUAUACAGUUGCAGAUUUGAAACAUUCAGCAGCACGUGACCCCCUGCCAAGAAAUAAUACACCAUGGGAUGAACAAGAUGGCAGCCAUGAUGGCAACGAUGUACCUGCCUGGGUGAUUGCUUUAAUCGUAAUCGUGGUUGUUGGAGUAUGUGCCGCCAUUUUUGGUUAUUGGAAAAAGGUGAGUGCCUUUUACAAAGUUGGGUUUAAUAUGUAAAGAUGACAUUGUCCUUCUGUCCUAUUAGAAGAAAUAAAGAACAUUUCAUUCAUGUGUGUGUGUGUGUGUGUGUGU
rnacentral:lncRNA from 1 species